ACUGACGUCAAGCCAUAGCAAAAUAGAGGACAGAUCCUAAGUUAAGGAUCUUGAGAUGAGAUCAUCCUAGAUUAUCCAGUUCAAGAGGAGCUAGUCAACAAAGGGAAAGUUUGGACUUAUCAGAAGUGUCUGAAGUAGAGUCUAAUUAUGGUGCCACUGAAGAGGAUUUAAUAACAUCUGCAUCAAAAACAGAAGAGACCUUGUCAAAAAAGAGAGAGUACCAGUCUUCCUCCUGUGUCUCCUCCACAUCCUCUUCCUAUUCUUCCUCUUCUGAAUCCAGAUUUUCUGAAUCUAUUGGUCGUUUGGACUGGGAGACUCUUGUGCACGAAAAUCUGCCCGGGCUAAUGGAAAUGGAUCAGGAUGACCGUGUUUGGCCCAGAGACUCACUCUUCCGAUAUUUUGAGUUGCUAGAAAAGCUUCAGUAUAACCUAGAGGAACGUAAGAAGUUACAAGAGUUUGCAG
rnacentral:lncRNA from 10 species